UAGAAUGUUGAGAUUAUACUACUGUUAUCCUGUAGGUUACUGGUUUUUAACUGCUGGGAGGAAAAAACCAGUAGAAUAAAUAGAAUACAUUCACAGCAAUAUGAAAUUCGGCCUGUAACUUUCCAACACCAAAAAAAAAGGGACUUGUGUUCUGCCGCUGCUCUCCAGACUGCCUACUGUCACCAUUGCAGACUCAUUAGCUUGGCAGCUGUCCUUUCUUUCCCUUUCGGCACUGAGCUCCUGUUUCCUGCAAGUCUUCCUCAGAUCAGGAAGAAGCAGCAGAAAGCAAAUGCUGGGGCUGAUUCAUGGUGCGAACACCAGUGAGGAAUUCUGGAGUGCCAGUGAGGGUCUAGAGCAUCCUGAUACUUGGUUCGAGCACCUGAAGAGCAGAAAGAGUAUCAAGAGUUUUAUU